rnacentral:rRNA from 1 species
CCUACGGGGGACAGCAGUGAGGAAUAUUGGUCAAUGGACGAGAGUCUGAACCAGCCAAGUAGCGUGAAGGAUGACUGCCCUAUGGGUUGUAAACUUCUUUUAUAAAGGAAUAAAACGCGGCACGUGUGCCUUUUUGCAUGUACUUUAUGAAUAAGGAUCGGCUAACUCCGUGCCAGCAGCCGCGGUAAUACGGAGGAUCCGAGCGUUAUCCGGAUUUAUUGGGUUUAAAGGGAGCGUAGAUGGGUUGUUAAGUCAGUUGGGAAAGUUUGCGGCUCAACCGUAAAAUUGCAAUUGAAACUGGCAGUCUUGAGUACAGGUGAGGUAGGCGGAAUUCGUGGUGUAGCGGUGAAAUGCUUAGAUAUCACGAAGAACCCCGAUUGCGAAGGCAGCUUACUAAACUGUGACUGACAUUGAUGCUCGAAAGUGUGGGUAUCAAACAGGAUUAGAUACCCGGGUAGUC